GACAGCCGCUGGAAACUAACGUGUUGGAUAAGCAGCUUUUUAGUCGGCAGAAGGAGCGAACGUUGAUAAGAUUUAGGAUUUAAGAAGUUCGUGCAUCCAUAGGUGUCAUGCCCAGCUCGUCUGCUCUUCGUGUGUGUCACGCCCCCUGAUGAUCCACGUGUGCUUCCCCGAUCUUGCCCAGCUGUGUCUGAUUAUUUUCACCCAGUCUUGUCUAUUUCAGUCCGUGUCUUGGCCUGAUUCUUGGUUCGUCAUUGAUGUUAGUCUGUGCCCGUGCCCGGCUUUCCCCACAUUUCGCCUCCUUGCUUGCCUGCCCGCGGGCUUACCCGCUUUACCCGCGAAUCCUGACAAUAGGCACAGCCUUCAUCUCUGCAGCAUAUCACUGCACCUGUGGCAUAAAAGCUUCUUUUGUGAGAGGCCUGAUCAUCUGGUUUUCACUGGCUUGCAGUCUUCAACUAGGGAGUGAAUCCACAACCUAGCUUUAUGGCUGUCAACAGACCCUAUUGUCGCAAGAUAAAUGAAGCAGCUGAGACGAGGUCUUAAAGAAACUCCGAUGUGGACAGUGCUGACCCAACGACCGGACACUGUGGCUUUGCUUUUCCCAAAAGAGGGAGCGGGGGAUGUCAGCCCCGAGGUGAUGUCCUCUGACGCGCCGGAGUGGGGGGACCCGCAGGUGACUGACGAGGAAUCGGAGGCGGGACCGAGGCAGGGCAAUGAGGCUUCGGAGGGGGACCUUCAGGAGACCGCCGACCUGGAGUCCCAGGACCAUCGCCCCGAGGAGAGGAGGGAGUGAAUGCAGCAAAGCUACACCGCAGCUGCGCGGCGAGCUGUUCCACCUCUGGGGAGUCCUGUGCGGCCAGUUCCUCCAACACCCUCCAGUAAAGCCCCUGGAGGGUGAAGAACUGACCCGAGAGGGCCGCGGGCGUAGUCGGAACCUCCAGCUGGGGCGCAGCGAAUGCAGUAGGCAGAGAGCUACGAUAUAUCUUGGGAGAGCUCGGUAUAUCUCUAGCCGCUUGCGGUUGCUCCCGCUUUUAAGGUUUCCCUUUUAAUGUGGACCGCGAUUUGGAGUGUUCCCGGACUGACGUGAGCCAGACAACCGGCGGGAUACUAAGCCGCUAUUGCUGCUGUUUUGCCCGGAUGUUUUAUGUUUUGUUUCGUGUUUUAAUUGGUUUUAAGUAUUAAUGUGAUUAGUUUGUUGGCAGUAAACUGUGGUGCGCCGUCGGGGAGGUUUGGUGCUGGGCGGUGAGGAUCUGUUUUGGGGCGGUAGGUCGGGGCGAUGCCGCGCUGCUUGGUCGCUUUGCCUUUUUAGCCCACCCCUUGGGUGGAUGUACUUGCGCCAUGUGCUGCGGUGACCCCUUGGAGUAUUUUCUGACGGUUCGCUUCCCAUUCCUCUCCCGAUAACAGCUGCCGGGUUUGGGUUUCUUUUUUUCAUGCGAUUUGGAGUGUUUUAACAUGAUAUUUGAUUUGUACUAUUUGUGUUGUGAUUUUUAAGUAAUUUGUUUGCUGUUUGGUUUCUUUUUCUUUUGGAGUGUGAACUAAACAGCAGCCUAAUAAAGGGAGUGUUCAUGGUC